rnacentral:rRNA from 1 species
GGGCGUAAAGCGUGCGCAGGCGGUUUUGUAAGUCUGACGUGAAAGCCCCGGGCUCAACCUGGAGAAUUGCGUUUGGAGACUGCAAGGCUUGAAUCUGGCAGAGGGGGGUAGAAUUCCACGUGUAGCAGUGAAAUGCGUAGAGAUGUGGAGGAACACCGAUGGCGAAGGCAGGCCCCUGGGUCACGAUUUGACGCUCAUGCACGAAAGCGUGGGGAGCAAACAGGAUUAGAUACCCUGGUAGUUCACGCCCUAAACGAUGUUUACUAGUUGUCGGGUCUUACUUGACUUGGUAACGCAGCUGACGCGUGAAGUA